rnacentral:rRNA from 1 species
CAGUCGCCGCGGUAAUACGAAGGGGGCUAGCGUUGUUCGGAUUUACUGGGCGUAAAGGGCGCGUAGGCGGACUGAUAAGUCAGGGGUGAAAUCCCAAGGCUCAACCUUGGAACUGCCUUUGAUACUGUUUGUCUUGAGUUCGAGAGAGGUAAGUGGAACUGCGAGUGUAGAGGUGAAAUUCGUAGAUAUUCGCAAGAACACCAGUGGCGAAGGCGGCUUACUGGCUCGAAACUGACGCUGAGGCGCGAAAGCGUGGGGAGCAAACAGGAUUAGAUACCCCGGUAGUCCCUGUCUCUUAUAC